AGCAGCCGCGGUAAUUCCAGCUCCAAUAGCGUAUAUUAAAGUUGUUGCAGUUAAAAAGCUCGUAGUUGAAUUUCGGGAUCAAUAUGUUGGUCGUGCCUUGGUACGUACUGGCAUUAUCGAUUCCUACCUUCUGAAGAACCUCGAUGUCAUUAAUUUGGUGUCUUGGGGAAUCAGGACUGUUACUUUGAAAAAAUUAGAGUGUUUAAAGCAGGCUCGCGCUUGAAUACAUUAGCAUGGAAUAAUGAAAUAGGACGUUUGAUUCUAUUUUGUUGGUUUCUAGGAUCGACGUAAUGAUUAAUAGGGAUAGUUGGGGGCAUUAGUAUUCAAUUGUCAGAGGUGAAAUUCUUGGAUUUAUUGAAGACUAACUACUGCGAAAGCAUUUGCCAAGGAUGUUUUCAUUAAUCAAGAACGAAAGUUAGGGGAUCGAAGACGAUCAGAUACCGUCGUAGUCUUAACCAUAAACUAUGCCGACUAGGGAUCGGAUGAUGUAAUUUUUAAUGACUCAUUCGGCGCC
rnacentral:rRNA from 1 species